UCAUAACGACUCUCGGCAACGGAUAUCUGGGCUCUCGCAUCGAUGAAGAACGUAGCGAAAUGCGAUACUUGGUGUGAAUUGCAGAAUCCCGUGAACCAUCGAGUCUUUGAACGCAAGUUGCGCCCGACGCCUUCGGGCUGAGGGCACGCCUGCCUGGGCGUC
rnacentral:rRNA from 1 species